rnacentral:rRNA from 1 species
GGGCCGGCACAAGCGGUGGAGCAUGUGGUUUAAUUCGACGCAACGCGAAGAACCUUACCUGGGCUCGAAAUGGAGUGGACCGGAGUAGAAAUAUUCCUUCCCCGCAAGGGGCCGCUCUAUAGGUGCUGCAUGGCUGUCGUCAGCUCGUGUCGUGAGAUGUUGGGUUAAGUCCCGCAACGAGCGCAACCCUUAUUACCAGUUGCCAUCAUUAAGUUGGGCACUCAGGUGAGACCGCCUCGGAUAACGGGGAGGAAGGCGGGGAUGACGUCAAGUCCUCAUGGCCUUUAUGUCCAGGGCUACACACGUGCUACAAUGGCCGGUACAAACCGUCGCAAACCCGUGAGGGGGAGCUAAUCGGAAAAAGCCGGCUUCCGUUCGGAUUGUAGUCUGCAACUCGACUACAUGAAGCUGGAAUCGCUAGUAAUCGCGGAUCAGAACGCCGCGGUGAAUACGUUCCCGGGCCUUGUACACACCGCCCGUCACAUCACGAAAGGGGGUUGUACUAGAAGUCGGUGAGCCAACCGCAAGGAGGCAGCCGCCCAAGGUGUAAUUCAUGAUUGGGGUG